UACGUAGGGUGCAAGCGUUAAUCGGAAUUACUGGGCGUAAAGCGCGCGUAGGCGGCUGUCUAAGUCGGGUGUGAAAGCCCCGGGCUCAACCUGGGAACUGCGCUCGAUACUGGACGGCUAGAGUAUGAAAGAGGGAGGUAGAAUUCCACGUGUAGCGGUGAAAUGCGUAGAUAUGUGGAGGAAUACCGGUGGCGAAGGCGGCCUCCUGGUUCAAUACUGACGCUGAGGUGCGAAAGCGUGGGGAGCAAAC
rnacentral:rRNA from 1 species